rnacentral:rRNA from 1 species
AUGGGAUUGGGUGUCGAGUCGGUUGGCCAAUGUUCAUGCAUGAUGAGCGUCCAUGUCGUUCCGUCCCGGCGUCGCAUUCGCCUCGCCGUAAAGCUCACGGCUCCGUCCCUACCAACAGCGACACCGACGCCUGACGCCGACGACCCACCACCCUCCGCCUCGCCUCGCCCCACUCCGCCCCGUGCCCGUACCCAUGCGCGCGCGCGAGCCACACCUAAAAGCCCAUCGACCCCAUCCAACCCAUGGUCGCCGCGGCGGAUGCAUACGCUGGCCAUGGCCAUGCGCCGCCUCCUCAGCGCCCUCGACGUCCGCGCCUCUCACUUGCCGAGGCCUCCGCCGCCGCCGCCUUCACCGGCCCAGCAGGGGACGUCCUUCCCCAUGCUGCUCCCGGUCUUCCUCCUCUUCGUCCUCCUCCUCUGCUUCCUCUCCAUCUUCCUCCUCCGCGACCUCCUCCGCUUCUUCUCCCUCUGGCUCCGCCGCCGCCGCCGCCCCCAGUCCAGCGACGCGGACGCCGCCACGGGCGAAGAAGGCGAGCCCGCGCCCGCGCCGCGCAAGCCGGCGGGCCUGGAUCCCGCCGUCAUCGCCUCGUUCCCCACGGUGCGGUUCGAGGCCGACGCCGCCGGCUCCGCGGCGCCGGCGGAGUGCGCGGUCUGCCUGUCCGAGUUCGCGCCCGGCGACGCCGUCCGGUCGCUCACCGUCUGCCGCCACGCCUUCCACGCCGCGUGCAUCGACUCGUGGCUCGGCGCGCACACCACGUGCCCGGUCUGCCGCACCGACCUGGACGCCCCGCCCAACGAGGAGAUCGCCGUCGCGGAAGAACGCGGAGACCGUGGCCGGGCUGCAGCGGCGGUCCACGAGUUCACUGGACACCGGAUAACGUCGUCACCUCCGGCAAGUGGCCAGCGGUAA